AUUGAACGCUGGCGGCAUGCCUUACACAUGCAAGCCGAACGGUAACGGGCCUUCGGGUGCCGACGAGUGGCGAACGGGUGAGUAAUACAUCGGAACGUGCCCGAUCGUGGGGGAUAACGAGGCGAAAGCUUUGCUAAUACCGCAUACGGUCUACGGAUGAAAGCAGGGGACCGCAAGGCCUUGCGCGGACGGAGCGGCCGAUGGCAGAUUAGGUAGUUGGUGGGAUAAAAGCUUACCAAGCCGACGAUCUGUAGCUGGUCUGAGAGGAUGAUCAGCCACACUGGGACUGAGACACGGCCCAGACUCCUACGGGAGGCAGCAGUGGGGAAUUUUGGACAAUGGGCGCAAGCCUGAUCCAGCCAUGCCGCGUGCAGGAUGAAGGCCUUCGGGUUGUAAACUGCUUUUGUACGGAACGAAAAGCCUUCUUUUAAUACAGGAGGGUCAUGACGGUACCGUAAGAAUAAGCACCGGCUAACUACGUG
rnacentral:rRNA from 1 species